GACGAACCACCCAAACGUUAUUCGGAAUUACUGGGCUUAAAGGGUGCGUAGGCGGUGCGGAAAGUUGGGUGUGAAAUACCUCAGCUUAACUGAGGAAUGGCGCUCAAAACUACCGUGCUCGAGGGAGAUAGAGGUGAGCGGAACUUAGGGUGGAGCGGUGAAAUGCGUAGAGAUCCGGAGGAACACCGAAGGCGAAGGCAGUGUCCUGGCGCGUAACUGACGCUGAGGUGCGAAAGCCAGGGGAGCGAACGGG
rnacentral:rRNA from 1 species